rnacentral:rRNA from 1 species
UGGUGGAGUGAUUUGUCUGGUUAAUUCCGAUAACGAACGAGACUCUAGCCUGCUAAAUAGACGGGCGAUCCCUUCGUGGUCGACCCGAUUUGCUUCUUAGAGGGACAAGUGGCGUUCCUAGCCACGCGAAAUUGAGCAAUAACA